GUACACAAAAAUGCACAUGCUGUGAGCUCGAUGAGUAGGGCGGGACACGUGGUAUCCUGUCUGAAUAUGGGGGGACCAUCCUCCAAGGCUAAAUACUCCUGACUGACCGAUAGUGAACCAGUACCGUGAGGGAAAGGCGAAAAGAACCCCGGCGAGGGGAGUGAAAAAGAACCUGAAACCGUGUACGUACAAGCAGUGGGAGCACGCUUAGGCGUGUGACUGCGUACCUUUUGUAUAAUGGGUCAGCGACUUAUAUUCUGUAGCAAGGUUAACCGAAUAGGGGAGCCGAAGGGAAACCGAGUCUUAACUGGGCGUUAAGUUGCAGGGUAUAGACCCGAAACCCGGUGAUCUAGCCAUGGGCAGGUUGAAGGUUGGGUAACACUAACUGGAGGACCGAACCGACUAAUGUUGAAAAAUUAGCGGAUGACUUGUGGCUGGGGGUGAAAGGCCAAUCAAACCGGGAGAUAGCUGGUUCUCCCCGAAAGCUAUUUAGGUAGCGCCUCGUGAAUUCAUCUCCGGGGGUAGAGCACUGUUUCGGCAAGGGGGUCAUCCCGACUUACCAACCCGAUGCAAACUGCGAAUACCGGAGAAUGUUAUCACGGGAGACACACGGCGGGUGCUAACGUCCGUCGUGAAGAGGGAAACAACCCAGACCGCCAGCUAAGGUCCCAAAGUCAUGGUUAAGUGGGAAACGAUGUGGGAAGGCCCAGACAGCCAGGAUGUUGGCUUAGAAGCAGCCAUCAUUUAAAGAAAGCGUAAUAGCUCACUGGUCGAGUCGGCCUGCGCGGAAGAUGUAACGGGGCUAAACCAUGCACCGAAGCUGCGGCAGCGACACUGUGUGUUGUUGGGUAGGGGAGCGUUCUGUAAGCCUGCGAAGGUGUGCUGUGAGGCAUGCUGGAGGUAUCAGAAGUGCGAAUGCUGACAUAAGUAACGAUAAAGCGGGUGAAAAGCCCGCUCGCCGGAAGACCAAGGGUUCCUGUCCAACGUUAAUCGGGGCAGGGUGAGUCGACCCCUAAGGCGAGGCCGAAAGGCGUAGUCGAUGGGAAACAGGUUAAUAUUCCUGUACUUGGUGUUACUGCGAAGGGGGGACGGAGAAGGCUAUGUUGGCCGGGCGACGGUUGUCCCGGUUUAAGCGUGUAGGCUGGUUUUCCAGGCAAAUCCGGAAAAUCAAGGCUGAGGCGUGAUGACGAGGCACUACGGUGCUGAAGCAACAAAUGCCCUGCUUCCAGGAAAAGCCUCUAAGCAUCAGGUAACAUCAAAUCGUACCCCAAACCGACACAGGUGGUCAGGUAGAGAAUACCAAGGCGCUUGAGAGAACUCGGGUGAAGGAACUAGGCAAAAUGGUGCCGUAACUUCGGGAGAAGGCACGCUGAUAUGUAGGUGAAGUCCCUCGCGGAUGGAGCUGAAAUCAGUCGAAGAUACCAGCUGGCUGCAACUGUUUAUUAAAAACACAGCACUGUGCAAACACGAAAGUGGACGUAUACGGUGUGACGCCUGCCCGGUGCCGGAAGGUUAAUUGAUGGGGUCAGCGCAAGCGAAGCUCUUGAUCGAAGCCCCGGUAAACGGCGGCCGUAACUAUAACGGUCCUAAGGUAGCGAAAUUCCUUGUCGGGUAAGUUCCGACCUGCACGAAUGGCGUAAUGAUGGCCAGGCUGUCUCCACCCGAGACUCAGUGAAAUUGAACUCGCUGUGAAGAUGCAGUGUACCCGCGGCAAGACGGAAAGACCCCGUGAACCUUUACUAUAGCUUGACACUGAACAUUGAGCCUUGAUGUGUAGGAUAGGUGGGAGGCUUUGAAGUGUGGACGCCAGUCUGCAUGGAGCCGACCUUGAAAUACCACCCUUUAAUGUUUGAUGUUCUAACGUUGACCCGUGAUCCGGGUUGCGGACAGUGUCUGGUGGGUAGUUUGACUGGGGCGGUCUCCUCCUAAAGAGUAACGGAGGAGCACGAAGGUUGGCUAAUCCUGGUCGGACAUCAGGAGGUUAGUGCAAUGGCAUAAGCCAGCUUGACUGCGAGCGUGACGGCGCGAGCAGGUGCGAAAGCAGGUCAUAGUGAUCCGGUGGUUCUGAAUGGAAGGGCCAUCGCUCAACGGAUAAAAGGUACUCCGGGGAUAACAGGCUGAUACCGCCCAAGAGUUCAUAUCGACGGCGGUGUUUGGCACCUCGAUGUCGGCUCAUCACAUCCUGGGGCUGAAGUAGGUCCCAAGGGUAUGGCUGUUCGCCAUUUAAAGUGGUACGCGAGCUGGGUUUAGAACGUCGUGAGACAGUUCGGUCCCUAUCUGCCGUGGGCGCUGGAGAACUGAGGGGGGCUGCUCCUAGUACGAGAGGACCGGAGUGGACGCAUCACUGGUGUUCGGGUUGUCAUGCCAAUGGCACUGCCCGGUAGCUAAAUGCGGAAGAGAUAAGUGCUGAAAGCAUCUAAGCACGAAACUUGCCCCGAGAUGAGUUCUCCCUGACUCCUUGAGAGUCCUGAAGGAACGUUGAAGACGACGACGUUGAUAGGCCGGGUGUGUAAGCGCAGCGAUGCGUUGAGCUAACCGGUACUAAUGAACCGUGAGGCUUAACCUUACAACGCCGAAGGUGU
rnacentral:rRNA from 1 species